GACGAACGCUGGCGGCGCGCCUAACACAUGCAAGUCGAACGGAGCUGAGAGAAGCUUGCUUUUCUUAGCUUAGUGGCGAACGGGUGAGUAACGCGUGAGUAACCUGCCCUGGAGUGGGGGACAACAGUUGGAAACGACUGCUAAUACCGCAUAAGCCCACGAUCCGGCAUCGGAUUGAGGGAAAAGGAUUUAUUCGCUUCAGGAUGGACUCGCGUCCAAUUAGCUAGUUGGUGAGGUAACGGCCCACCAAGGCGACGAUUGGUAGCCGGACUGAGAGGUUGAACGGCCACAUUGGGACUGAGACACGGCCCAGACCCCUCGGGGAGGCAGCAGUGGGGGAUAUUGCAAAAGGGGGGAAACCCUGAUGCAGCGCCGCCGCGUGGAGGAAGAAGGUUUUCGGAUUGAAAACCCCUGUCGUUAGGGACGAUAAUGACGGUACCAAACAAAAAAGCACCGGCUAACUACGU
rnacentral:rRNA from 1 species